CAUUAUGGACCGUCCAACUUGGC
rnacentral:siRNA from 1 species